CGCAGAAUUUGUGUCAUUUUGUUGUUGUUGUUGUGCUGUGUGUUCGGUUUGGCUGCAACCACUGAAUGUUGCGGCAACAUGUUGCCGCACGGCGAUCACUUGUCAAAUGUUUUUGUCAGCAGAAUUUUUAGUUCAUUUUCGCGGCACUCUAGCAGCUAAGCUGAGCAUUUGUGCAGAAACCAAAGACAGCUUACGGUUUUGUGCCAUUUAUAGGCCAGCAUGCCCGCGUUUUGCACCGAGCACAGGGUACGCACGACUAUUGGCCAAUUGCAACAUUUGACAGGCAGACUGCAGAAUUUGGACAAUGGAGACGACGACGACGACGAUGACGAUGACAAAAGCAGCGGCGGCAGCAGACAGACAGGCGGACAGCAGCGGACAUUGGUUAUGCGGACAGCGGCUGUGCGUGCCACCAAAAUACUCGUGCAUCAGCCCUCUCUCUCUUUGUGCUGUGUGUUGCACUUAAUUGAAUGAAUGAACAGCAACAUCAGUGAGUGGCAGCAACAAAAAUACAACAAUCUCAACAACAACAACAAUGAAAUUUACAACAACUGCAGAGGGAAAUAGCAACAAGGCCUUUACGAUUUAUUACUCUAGCAAAGAUAGAACCAAAACUAAAAUAUUGAAUACUUCAGCCAUCAUUGACUUCACUUUUUAUUCAACAACAGCGCCAAAAAAUUGCAGCAGCUAACUGCAACUACAACAACAAUCCACAAUCG
rnacentral:lncRNA from 1 species